CCUACGGGAGGCAGCAGUGGGGAAUAUUGGACAAUGGGGGCAACCCUGAUCCAGCAACGCCGCGUGGGGGAUGAAGGUCUUCGGAUUGUAAACCCCUGUUAAGAGGGACGAAGGCUUCCGGGCGAACAGUCCGGAAGCUUGACGGUACCUCUAGAGGAAGCCCCGGCUAACUCUGUGCCAGCAGCCGCGGUAAUACGUAGGUGGCGAGCGUUGUCCGGAUUUACUGGGCGUAAAGAGCGCGCAGGCGGUCGUGCAAGUCGCGUGUGAAAGCCCCCGGCUCAACUGGGGAGAGUCACGCGAUACUGCUCGACUCGAAGGCGGGAGAGGGAAGCGGAAUUCCCGGUGUAGUGGUGAAAUGCGUAGAUAUCGGGAGGAACACCAGUGGCGAAGGCGGCUUCCUGGCCCGUUCUUGACGCUGAGGCGCGAAAGCUAGGGGAGCAAACGGGAUUAGAUACCCCGGUAGUCCUAGCCGUAAACGAUGGACACUAGGUGUUGGUGGUAUCAACCCCGCCAGUGCCGAAGCUAACGCAUUAAGUGUCCCGCCUGGGGAGUACGGCCGCAAGGCUAAAACUUAAAGGAAUUGACGG
rnacentral:rRNA from 1 species